UACGUAGGGUGCAAGCGUUAAUCGGAAUUACUGGGCGUAAAGCGUGCGCAGGCGGUUUUGUAAGGCAGGUGUGAAAUCCCCGGGCUUAACCUGGGAACUGCAUUUGUGACUGCAUAGCUAGAGUACGGUAGAGGGGGAUGGAAUUCCGCGUGUAGCAGUGAAAUGCGUAGAUAUGCGGAGGAACACCGAUGGCGAAGGCAAUCCCCUGGACCUGUACUGACGCUCAUGCACGAAAGCGUGGGGAGCAAACAGG
rnacentral:rRNA from 1 species